rnacentral:sRNA from 1 species
UACGCUAUGUUGGACUUA